AUUUUACGUUUUGGGUAUAUGUACGGAAAUUUAUGUAUCUUAGUAAGACCCAAAAUAUUGGUGCCAUCUGCAGAAAGAAAAAUCCUGAAAGGAAAUGUCGUCAUCGUCAUUUCAGCGUAUUUUUUUUUUGUGGGUUUUACCUGUAUUGAGUAAUUCAUGUUACCGGUAUUUUAUGUGUAGCAGUGUAAGACGUGAAAAAUGGAUAUGAAUGCAGAGGAACUAACACUUCAGUAUUCACCGAGCCUCUGGUCACAGCGGUUUCAAGAUUCUGCAGCUGUAAUAGACAAUCACAUCAAAGUCAUCACCACAGGUUGUUAUUCAUGUUUAUUAUGGGUGUUCGAGUAAUUGCAAGAUUUACAAUAUUUAUUUUUCUCUCUUGAGUAAUUUUCUGCCAGAUACUCUAAAUCUUAAAAUAAGCACAUUAACUGAAAUAGUAGCAUGGUCACAAAUUGUAGUUAAACAAGAGAACACUAGUUACAACUAUAGACUGACUUAAUCCUUUCAAGCACAGUAGUGUCACGUCUCUUUAUUUAACAUUAAAUAACUCAACAUUUUAGCCAUAGAUUGUAUUUUUAUAUGUUCUGUAUAAUUCUCAGAAUGGUGAUGAUAUCCACAGGGAAUAUUAACUGAUUUGUCUUCAUACUGGCAACAGUUUUCUAUGAGAUGGGGACUAAAUAUGUAAACAUUUACUUGAAUUUCAGACUUCAAAAGGGUAAUCUGGUGGUUGCAUUUGUGCUAAUAAUGAAAGUAUGGGACACAUUUUAAUGUUGUUGUAAGUGAAUAAAACAGAAUGUUUCUGUUUCCUUAUGCAAAUAUUUUAUUAUAAUGAUAUAAUAGCACUGAAAUUUCAAGUAAUGGCAGUGUUUCCAUUUAUGGCACAUAGUUAUCAUUUCUCCGGUAAUUUAUUACAUACUGAGCUCAUUAACCCCUCAAGCAUGUGUGACACACCAUAUGCAUCCACUCAGUUACAUGCAUCUAGCGUGAAUUUAAGCGGGUGUAUUUAAAUUCCUCCCGGUGCUUUAUUUUCGCAAGCAUUGAAGGUUUUGUGCAGACAUUUACCUAAAUAUUUUUAAAUCUAAAUGUACUUCAAUCGGUUUUUCCCUUUAAAAGUAGUCUCAAGAAAAAAAGGUAAUAAAUUAUGCUGGAUUACUAAAGGUAUAAAAGUUUCUAGACAGAAGCUUCAGUUGCUGCGUUUGUUAAAAAGAAAGCUGAUUUUAUCUGCUUCUGCAUUAAAUUAUAUAAAAAAUACCAGAGUACCUAUAAAAAGAUCUUAUUCACUGCUCGAAAACGUGCAAAUGACCGUAUUAUUGCAAAUUCUAGUAAUCGUACAAAGGCCUUAUGGAAUAUAAUA